UAAGUGCAUACGGUGGAUGCCUUGGCAGUCAGAGGCGAUGAAGGACGUUGUAACAUGCGAUAAGCCUCGGGGAGUAUGUAAACUUACUUUGAUCCGAGGAUUUCCGAAUGGGGAAACCCACCUGCUUGCAGGUAUCUUUAACUGAAUACAUAGGUUAAAGAGGCGAACGUGGUGAACUGAAACAUCUAAGUAACCAUAGGAAAAGAAAUCAACCGAGAUUCCCUUAGUAGCGGCGAGCGAACGGGGACCAGCCCUAAACGGCAUGUUGUGAUAGGUAAAUAGUCUGGAAAGGCUAGCGAGACAGGGUGAUAGCCCCGUAACCGAAAUCUAUACAUGUCUUAUAUGAGUAGGACGGAACACGUGAAAUUCUGUUUGAAUAUGGGGGGACCAUCCUCCAAGGCUAAAUACUACUGACUGACCGAUAGUGAACCAGUACCGUGAGGGAAAGGCGAAAAGAACCCCUGUGAGGGGAGUGAAAUAGAACCUGAAACCGUAUGCAUACAAGCUGUGGGAGCGGAUCCUUGUGAUCUGUGACUGCGUACCUUUUGUA
rnacentral:rRNA from 9 species